rnacentral:lncRNA from 1 species
GUACUCAUAUCUGGCUGCACUACUUUAGAGUGCACCAUCUAGGUGUCUCAUAAAGAGAUCUAUUAGCAUAUUUGCAAUAUCCCACGGAAAUGUCAACUGACGCAACCAAUUCAUCCAUCAUAUCUUCUUAUACUACUUCUGUUAAUCCCCAUAGGGCAUAUCUGGAAUGGGUGCGACCAAUUGUAUAUACCUCUGUUACAAUUGACUAUAACUCAAAAGGCUUAUGUUCCUCUGCCUCAAUUACAAACAUUGUUAGCAGGCAUCAUCUUAUUACGAAUAAAAUAGAAUUUCAGAACUUGGAUUCUUAUAAGUGAGCUCUACCACACGAUCUAGAGUAAGAAGAAAGAGUGACAGUCCUAAAUGCCCUGUAGCCUCAUGCUUAUAAGUGUGGUGCACGACACACCCAUAAACAAGACUCUACUAGACACGACUUGUAGACUUCCUAGGAUAGAACUGCUCUGAUACCACUUUUGUCACAACCCAAACCGAUGGGCCACGACGGGCACUCGGUACCUUACUCAACCGAGUACCAAUGUAACGUAUCUUUCUUAUUACAUCAUCAUAUACACGUAACAUACGAGCCUAAUAGGCCAAUAUAAUCAUUUAUAAACUCAAAAUAUAGGCCGACAAGGCCGUACAAUCCUUCCCGUAUAAGACAUAUGUCUACAAGCCUAUAAGAAUACAUAAGUGUCACAAAGGUCGGAACAGAGUCCCGCCAUACCAAACAAUAGACGUCUAAAUCAUACUAACCAAAUACGCAGCUCCGAAGCAAAUGGAGCGCACCAACAUCUUUCGCUGAGCUGAUAGCCUACUUGGAAGGCUCUCGACCUGUCUAUCAGGACCUGCGGGCAUGAAACACAGUGUCCCCGGGCAAAAGGGACGUCAGUACGAAUAAUGUACUGAGUAUGUAAGGCACAUAAAUAAAUACAUAGGAGACAUGUAAGACAUAUGGAGUACAUGACUCAACCCGUACGUCUGAAUAACUUUGUAAAUCAUAAAUUACUUUCAGCGUCAUGCAUAUGCGUAAGAAUGUCAUGUCGUGCAUAGGUAUAUGUUUCAUAACAUCAUCAGCCUCUGAGGGCAUCCCAUCAUAUCAUAUCGGCCACUGUGGGCAAAAUCAUCAUCGUAUACCAGCUGAUCAGGUGGUGGUGCGUAUAUAACGCCAUAACCUUUCCCAUAUCCCGUAUACAUAUAUAUAUAUAACGCCAUUUGAAUACAUACAUAUAUAUGCGUGUAUAACGCCAUUUGAAUACAUACCCAUAUAUGUGUAUAUAACGCCGUGUGAAUCAUAUUUCAGCCAUUGUGGGCAACAACAUCAUCAUAUACCAGCUGACCAGGUGGUGGUGCGUAUAUAACGCCAUAACCUUUUCCCAUAUCCCAUACACAUAUAUUUACGUAUAUAUGCGUAUAUAACGCCAUCUGGUCAUGAGUCAGUGCACAUGAAUGCAGUGCAUAAAAAGUACGUCAAUAAAAUUAUUCGGAAUGUCAUAAGACCAUUUUGCCUCUGAGUAAUAUCAUAAAGUAAACUCUUUUCAACUUUCAUAUUUUUCUAAGACCCAUGAACAAAUGAUAAAAUAUUACGACACAUGGGAAUUAAAGAACAUAGAUAUUUCUACUACUUCUAUGAGUAGAUUCACUUAUGGAAUUUGUGCAUUUGCACGUUUUGUUCAUAUCGUAUGGAUCAUGCCAAAAGAAAGAAGGGAUAGCCUUAACAUACCUUGAGUAAGAACAACUCCGUAUAAUUAUCCCAUUGGAAACCUUCGUGGAUUGAAUUUAGAACCCAAAAAUCGAAUCAAGCUUCUGCUUUUAAAAUUCUUGAACGAAACUGCUUCUGCCUCUUUGAAUAUUUUUGAACGAAAUUUCUAAGCUUCUGGAUUCUUGAAGCACUAAACGUAAGAAUGCAACUCCAAUUUCAAGCUUCAAGCUUCUUGAUUUUUUUGCCUUUCUUUGAGGAAUGAGUACGUUGAUCCUUUUUCAAAAUGAAAAAUGGAGACUUUGACAUAUGAUGUAUAUUUGGAACUUAAAGAACGUUCUGACUCCUCCAAAAGAACAUGGAACCAAGACAUUUACCAAGUCUUGCCUUGUUAACAAUUAAUUGAUGUAUGGCAGCCACCUACUCAUAAUCAAUAUGAGUCAUUUUCUUAAGUAGUGGCCUUCUGCCACAUUUUCUUAGGGGAAGGAAUUUAAUCUUAUCC